GUCUACGGCCAUACCACUCUGAAUGUGCCGGAUCCCAUCUGAUCUCGGAAGCUAAGCAGGGUCGGGCCUGGUUAGUAGUUGGAUGGGAGACCACCUACGAAAACCAGGUGCUGUAGGUA
rnacentral:rRNA from 1 species